rnacentral:rRNA from 1 species
GAUGAACGCUGGCGGCGUGCCUAAUACAUGCAAGUCGAGCGAACAGACGAGGAGCUUGCUCCUCUGACGUUAGCGGCGGACGGGUGAGUAACACGUGGAUAACCUACCUAUAAGACUGGGAUAACUUCGGGAAACCGGAGCUAAUACCGGAUAAUAUAUUGAACCGCAUGGUUCAAUAGUGAAAGACGGUUUUGCUGUCACUUAUAGAUGGAUCCGCGCCGCAUUAGCUAGUUGGUAAGGUAACGGCUUACCAAGGCAACGAUGCGUAGCCGACCUGAGAGGGUGAUGGGCCACACUGGAACUGAGACACGGGCCAGACUCCGACGGGAGGCAGCAGUAGGGAAUCUUCCGCAAUGGGCGAAAGCCUGACGGAGCAACGCCGCGUGAGUGAUGAAGGUCUUCGGAUCGUAAAACUCUGUUAUUAGGGAAGAACAAAUGUGUAAGUAACUAUGCACGUCUUGACGGUACCUAAUCAGAAAGCCACGGCUAACUACGUG